GUGGGGAAUAUUGGACAAUGGGCGAAAGCCUGAUCCAGCCAUGCCGCGUGUGUGAAGAAGGUCUUCGGAUUGUAAAGCACUUUAAGUUGGGAGGAAGGGCAGUAAGUUAAUACCUUGCUGUUUUGACGUUACCGACAGAAUAAGCACCGGCUAACUUCGUGCCAGCAGCCGCGGUAAUACGAAGGGUGCAAGCGUUAAUCGGAAUUACUGGUCGUAAAGCGCGCGUAGGUGGUUCAGUAAGUUGGAAGUGAAAUCCCCGGGCUCAACCUGGGAACUGCUUUAAAAACUGCUGAGAUAGAGUACGGUAGAGGGUGGUGGAAUUUCCUGUGUAGCGGUGAAAUGCGUAGAUAUAGGAAGGAACACCAGUGGCGAAGGCGACCACCUGGACUGAUACUGACACUGAGGUGCGAAAGCGUGGGGAGCAAACAGGAUUAGAUACCCCAGUAGUCC
rnacentral:rRNA from 1 species